AGGAAUUUGCCCCACAAACAGAUUCCCCUGAGACCAACCAGAGGAAAUGAAGUCGACGCUGAGCCCGUGGAGGUCGGGCCUGUGGCAGCUUCUGCCGGCACGGUGCCGUUGCUUUGUGUUCACUUCGGGUCUUGCCAGAAAUGUGCCUUUUUCUCUAACUGAUCUGC
rfam:Myotis davidii contig132835, whole genome shotgun sequence.